rnacentral:rRNA from 1 species
CCUACGGGUGGCAGCAGUGAGGAAUAUUGGUCAAUGGGCGGGAGCCUGAACCAGCCAAGCCGCGUGAAGGAAGAAGGCGCCAUGCGUCGUAACCUUCUUUUGUCGGGGAACAAAGUGCGCCACGCGUGCCGUUGUGAGUGUACCCUACGAAAAAGCAUCGGCUAACUCCGUGCCAGCCGCCGCGGUAAUACGGAGGGGGCAAGCGUUAUCCGGAUUUACUGGGUGUAAAGGGGGCGCAGACGGCAGCGCAAGCCAGGAGUGAAAGACCGGGGCCCAACCCCGGGACGGCUCUUGGAACGGGCAGGCUGGAGUGCAGGAGGGGCAGGCGGAAUUCCUGGUGUAGCGGUGAAAUGCGUAGAUAUCAGGAGGAACACCGGUGGCGAAGGCGGCCUGCUGGACUGCGACUGACGUUGAGGCCCGAAAGCGUGGGGAGCAAACAGGAUUAGAUACCCCAGUAGUC